rnacentral:rRNA from 1 species
UGGGGAAUAUUGGACAAUGGGCGCAAGCCUGAUCCAGCCAUGCCGCGUGAGUGAUGAAGGCCCUAGGGUUGUAAAGCUCUUUCGGCGGGGAAGAUAAUGACGGUACCCGCAGAAGAAGCCCCGGCUAACUUCGUGCCAGCAGCCGCGGUAAUACGAAGGGGGCUAGCGUUGCUCGGAAUCACUGGGCGUAAAGCGCACGUAGGCGGAUUCUUAAGUCAGGGGUGAAAUCCUGGAGCUCAACUCCAGAACUGCCUUUGAUACUGAGAAUCUCGAGUUCGGGAGAGGUGAGUGGAACUGCGAGUGUAGAGGUGAAAUUCGUAGAUAUUCGCAAGAACACCAGUGGCGAAGGCGGCUCACUGGCCCGAAACUGACGCUGAGGUGCGAAAGCGUGGGGAGCAAACAG